rnacentral:rRNA from 1 species
GGGUUGUGAGGUUAAGCGACUAAGCGUACACGGUGGAUGCCCUGGCAGUCAGAGGCGAUGAAGGACGUGCUAAUCUGCGAUAAGCGUCGGUAAGGUGAUAUGAACCGUUAUAACCGGCGAUUUCCGAAUGGGGAAACCCAGUGUGUUUCGACACACUAUCAUUAACUGAAUCCAUAGGUUAAUGAGGCGAACCGGGGGAACUGAAACAUCUAAGUACCCCGAGGAAAAGAAAUCAACCGAGAUUCCCCCAGUAGCGGCGAGCGAACGGGGAGCAGCCCAGAGCCUGAAUCAGUGUGUGUGUUAGUGGAAGCGUCUGGAAAGGCGCGCGAUACAGGGUGACAGCCCCGUACACAAAAAUGCACAUGCUGUGAGCUCGAUGAGUAGGGCGGGACACGUGGUAUCCUGUCUGAAUAUGGGGGGACCAUCCUCCAAGGCUAAAUACUCCUGACUGACCGAUAGUGAACCAGUACCGUGAGGGAAAGGCGAAAAGAACCCCGGCGAGGGGAGUGAAAAAGAACCUGAAACCGUGUACGUACAAGCAGUGGGAGCACGCUUAGGCGUGUGACUGCGUACCUUUUGUAUAAUGGGUCAGCGACUUAUAUUCUGUAGCAAGGUUAACCGAAUAGGGGAGCCGAAGGGAAACCGAGUCUUAACUGGGCGUUAAGUUGCAGGGUAUAGACCCGAAACCCGGUGAUCUAGCCAUGGGCAGGUUGAAGGUUGGGUAACACUAACUGGAGGACCGAACCGACUAAUGUUGAAAAAUUAGCGGAUGACUUGUGGCUGGGGGUGAAAGGCCAAUCAAACCGGGAGAUAGCUGGUUCUCCCCGAAAGCUAUUUAGGUAGCGCCUCGUGAAUUCAUCUCCGGGGGUAGAGCACUGUUUCGGCAAGGGGGUCAUCCCGACUUACCAACCCGAUGCAAACUGCGAAUACCGGAGAAUGUUAUCACGGGAGACACACGGCGGGUGCUAACGUCCGUCGUGAAGAGGGAAACAACCCAGACCGCCAGCUAAGGUCCCAAAGUCAUGGUUAAGUGGGAAACGAUGUGGGAAGGCCCAGACAGCCAGGAUGUUGGCUUAGAAGCAGCCAUCAUUUAAAGAAAGCGUAAUAGCUCACUGGUCGAGUCGGCCUGCGCGGAAGAUGUAACGGGGCUAAACCAUGCACCGAAGCUGCGGCAGCGACGCUUAUGCGUUGUUGGGUAGGGGAGCGUUCUGUAAGCCUGCGAAGGUGUGCUGUGAGGCAUGCUGGAGGUAUCAGAAGUGCGAAUGCUGACAUAAGUAACGAUAAAGCGGGUGAAAAGCCCGCUCGCCGGAAGACCAAGGGUUCCUGUCCAACGUUAAUCGGGGCAGGGUGAGUCGACCCCUAAGGCGAGGCCGAAAGGCGUAGUCGAUGGGAAACAGGUUAAUAUUCCUGUACUUGGUGUUACUGCGAAGGGGGGACGGAGAAGGCUAUGUUGGCCGGGCGACGGUUGUCCCGGUUUAAGCGUGUAGGCUGGUUUUCCAGGCAAAUCCGGAAAAUCAAGGCUGAGGCGUGAUGACGAGGCACUACGGUGCUGAAGCAACAAAUGCCCUGCUUCCAGGAAAAGCCUCUAAGCAUCAGGUAACAUCAAAUCGUACCCCAAACCGACACAGGUGGUCAGGUAGAGAAUACCAAGGCGCUUGAGAGAACUCGGGUGAAGGAACUAGGCAAAAUGGUGCCGUAACUUCGGGAGAAGGCACGCUGAUAUGUAGGUGAAGCGACUUGCUCGUGGAGCUGAAAUCAGUCGAAGAUACCAGCUGGCUGCAACUGUUUAUUAAAAACACAGCACUGUGCAAACACGAAAGUGGACGUAUACGGUGUGACGCCUGCCCGGUGCCGGAAGGUUAAUUGAUGGGGUCAGCGCAAGCGAAGCUCUUGAUCGAAGCCCCGGUAAACGGCGGCCGUAACUAUAACGGUCCUAAGGUAGCGAAAUUCCUUGUCGGGUAAGUUCCGACCUGCACGAAUGGCGUAAUGAUGGCCAGGCUGUCUCCACCCGAGACUCAGUGAAAUUGAACUCGCUGUGAAGAUGCAGUGUACCCGCGGCAAGACGGAAAGACCCCGUGAACCUUUACUAUAGCUUGACACUGAACAUUGAGCCUUGAUGUGUAGGAUAGGUGGGAGGCUUUGAAGUGUGGACGCCAGUCUGCAUGGAGCCGACCUUGAAAUACCACCCUUUAAUGUUUGAUGUUCUAACGUGGACCCGUGAUCCGGGUUGCGGACAGUGUCUGGUGGGUAGUUUGACUGGGGCGGUCUCCUCCUAAAGAGUAACGGAGGAGCACGAAGGUUGGCUAAUCCUGGUCGGACAUCAGGAGGUUAGUGCAAUGGCAUAAGCCAGCUUGACUGCGAGCGUGACGGCGCGAGCAGGUGCGAAAGCAGGUCAUAGUGAUCCGGUGGUUCUGAAUGGAAGGGCCAUCGCUCAACGGAUAAAAGGUACUCCGGGGAUAACAGGCUGAUACCGCCCAAGAGUUCAUAUCGACGGCGGUGUUUGGCACCUCGAUGUCGGCUCAUCACAUCCUGGGGCUGAAGUAGGUCCCAAGGGUAUGGCUGUUCGCCAUUUAAAGUGGUACGCGAGCUGGGUUUAGAACGUCGUGAGACAGUUCGGUCCCUAUCUGCCGUGGGCGCUGGAGAACUGAGGGGGGCUGCUCCUAGUACGAGAGGACCGGAGUGGACGCAUCACUGGUGUUCGGGUUGUCAUGCCAAUGGCACUGCCCGGUAGCUAAAUGCGGAAGAGAUAAGUGCUGAAAGCAUCUAAGCACGAAACUUGCCCCGAGAUGAGUUCUCCCUGACUCCUUGAGAGUCCUGAAGGAACGUUGAAGACGACGACGUUGAUAGGCCGGGUGUGUAAGCGCAGCGAUGCGUUGAGCUAACCGGUACUAAUGAACCGUGAGGCUUAACCUUACAACGCCGAAGCUGUU